rnacentral:rRNA from 1 species
GACGUAGGGGCGAGCGUUGUCCGGAAUUACUGGGCGUAAAGAGCACGUAGGCGGGAACCUAAGUCAGGUGUGAAAGACCGUGGCUCAACCACGGGGUGGCAUUUGAAACUGGGUUUCUUGAGGGCAGGAGAGGAAAGCAGAAUUCCUGGUGUAGCGGUGAAAUGCGUAGAAAUCAGGAUGAAUACCAGUGGCGAAGGCGACUUUCUGGACUGUAACUGACGCUGAGGCGCGAAAGCGUGGGGAUCAAACAGGAUUAGAUACCCUGGUAGUCCCUGA